AACGCAGCGAAAUGCGAUAAGUAAUGUGAAUUGCAGAAUUCAGUGAAUCAUCGAAUCUUUGAACGCACAUUGCGCCCGGCAGCAAUCUGCCGGGCAUGCCUGUCCGAGCGUCAUUUCUGCCCUCGAGCUCGGUUCUCUCGAACCGACGCCCGGUGUUGGGGCGCUGCGGGCUCAGCCCCGCAGGCCCUGAAAUGAAGUGGCGGUCCCGCCGCGGCGCCCCCUGCGUAGUAAGUCUUUGCACCUCGCAUCGGGUCCCGGCGUAGGCCAGCCGUCGAACCUAUCUCUUUGAUGGUUUGACCU
rnacentral:sRNA from 1 species